AUCUUAAGCACAAGACAUCUUCCUGGCAGGCAAAGCACCAGCCUAGUGUCUGUCACAGAGCAGGCCCUCAACAAGUUCCGUCGGGUCUGCGUCCUCCUGCCUCCCUCUGCAGGAUCCUACACCCCGCUGCCUCACUUUUUCCUCGGUCAGCACCCAGGACGGGGAGCCAGGGGUGGCUGGGGCUACCCGCCCCUUUCUAGAUGCCCAGAUUCAAGGAGGCAAUAACUGUUCGCAGGAUUCUCCGUGUCUCCUCCUCAUAACAGGACCUCCCAGCCCCCCGGCGCCCCCCCGCCAACGUUUCCAUCGCCCAUGUCUCUGGUGCCCUUCUAAGUGUUUCUCCAAGUCACUCCUUGGCUUCACCCUCCAGGGGUCCAGGAGCCACGGGAUGGAGACCCUGGCACUUCCCCCUGGACUCGGCUCCUUCCACGGGCCCAGCCCAUCUGUUUCCCACCUCCCUGCCUUUGCCAUAGUGCUGACCCUGCUCCUAGAGGCUGCUCCACGCUGCUUCCCUCGGGCUGCCUGGUGAACAACUGCCCGCCGUCCAAGAUUCAGCUCCGAUGGGCAUCCUCCUCUAGCCCCCCACAUCCUCUGGAGCCCGCGCCCACUCCCUCCUCUGCUCCCCCAGAGCAUCUUACACGCGUUUGUGGCUUCUGUCACAGUGUCGUGAUGAGGAAACACGGAGUGGGCAGGGACAGGCCCGGGGAAGGCACAGAGGCGGAGCCAGCAGGGCCUCUCAGGCCCGACCCGGUCUCCGGGGAAGGGGCUCCAGGGCAUUUCGGUGGGGGAGGGGGUUCCCAGCUCAACGCUUUCCCCGCUUUCCCAAGAAGAGUCGACCCGACAGGACCCAGACGGUGACGUGCUCACCACCCCCGGCCCCCUCCCCCACCCCCAAGGAAGACAGGAUGAAUCGUCCCCAGGUCGCCUGGUCACUGAGCCCAGGGGGAGGGGAAGGGCGCUCAGAAACGGCAGGUUUGGUCUCUCUGGGCGCCAGACUUCCCGCCGGGGCAGGGAGACCGAGGCAGGGUGGGGUUGGGGGAAGGCACUCGGUGAUGGGCCAGACGUGCAGUCUCUCUCCACCCAACUGGGUGGCCGUGUCCCUUUGCAAAGAUGGAGCGGCAGGUGUGUGUGGGGGGGGUCUCCAGGGUCUCAAGGUCUCACGUCCAACAAGUUGGGAGCCCUAACGCACGUCCAGGCCCGCUGCCUCUGACACUGGCGGAGGAUGGAGACACUGGAGAGGCCGAAUCUCGGGGGUGUGGGGGGUGGAAAGGGCUCAGGCCGCAGGUGAACGGUGCUUGGGGGGCUCGAGAGCCGGCGGACCGGUCCUGUGAGGGGAGCCCGGGGACCAAAAGGAUUUCACCAUGGUCCCGGUGCUCAGCCGGGGUCUUGAAUGGUGCAUGCGUGGGAAUGGGUCCGGAGGUCAAGGGGGCCGAGAGCAGAGGCAAAGGCCCGGAGGCAUCCGGGAGUGGGGGCUGCAGCCGAGGGCACGACUGUGGAGGAGACCCUCGGCGCUCCCUGCCGUCUUCCCUGACCACGGACCCCAGAAGCGAAGCCGUUUCCAGAUAACCAGAGUCAUAACCCCGGUAAGAACAUCGAGCGCUUGCAGCACAUGCUAGACUUCCGCCGCAGCACCUUCUAACACCAUCCAGCUUAAUCUGCGGGGCAACCUGGAGAUGAGUAUGCGGCUCAUCCCUUCUCCAAAGACAGAAACUGGGCCCAAAGAGGCUACGUAACACGGCCAGGGCACACACCUCUGUGCGUGGUGGGUCUGGAUCCGAAUCAGCGGCCAAGCCCCAGCAGGCAGCUCUGCGGGCCGACCACUGAGCCGCACUGCCUCUCCAGGCCGGACGCCGCCUUCCCUCCCCUGACGGCUCGUCUCUGCUGCUUUCACCCGCCAGAGCGCAGGCACCUCUGGAGCAGGUGCCGCGUCUCAUUCUCCUCCUGGGGGGUCCCUCCACCCGCCCCCGCUACCGGCUCCCGCCACUCGGGGCCUUUGUAAAGGAGCUUGAGCGGCGCGUCAAGACCAGAAGAUUCCAGCAGGAGAAAGCCCUGGUCGCUGUCCACUUCCGGCUGGGAACCAAGAGUUUGUUGACUUAGGCAGAUGCAGAACAGGGUUGUCCUGGUGGCAAGGUUUCUAUUCCAGGAGGCCAGGCCGCAAUUAAAUGUCCCAACCUGCACACCUCCAAUGACUGCACGAGAGCUGGUUUCCCGGGCCUGAUAAGUAGCGAUGACAGACCCUUCGGCUGAAAUCCCGAAAUCACUCAGUAAAGGUCACCUUCUUCCUUCUUUUUCGGGCGGGAGGAGGGUGGGAUGAAAUUAGUGCCCAAAAUACAAGUGACACCCUCAUUUAAAACAGGUGCAUCCAAACAGCCAGUCCCCAGCAAAUGGCGUGGUCCUCCAGGCUUGUGAGCUGUUGUCACAGGGACUCUGCUGUGUGUGGAGCACCUGCUCCGGGCCAGGCACCGACCCAGGCUCUUAAACUGCGUUCACGAGUUAACACGUAUACCGAUGAGAUGACAAUGACACGAUGCUUUUACCCCUUUUACUGAAGAAUAAACUGAGCUCCAGGGACGUUCAGUCAUCUCCUUAGCGUGACACAGUGCACGUGGAACAUUCAGGAUUUACAGCCAAGUCUGUGUGCCUCCGAAUAGCAGGUUCUUUCCAUUAAACAAGGUGGUCUCAAGGUAACAAACUUAGUUUGGGAUUCAGGACAAGGCUGGUUCUGUGCUUUACAGGGAGUCCUGAGACGCCCCUAAAUAUCCCCUUCUCCUGGCCUAUCUCUGGACAUCUCUGAAGGCGCAGUUGAGACAUGGGUCUCUUCCAGCCUCUGGAAU
rnacentral:lncRNA from 1 species